rnacentral:rRNA from 1 species
UGAUGAACUGAAACAUGAUAGUACUCAGAUCCUUUCGGGGUGAAGAGAUAGUGACUCCAAGCAUACUUCCAAGAAAAACCUCUAAGCUUCAGGUAAUAACAGCCCGUACCAUAAACCGACACAGGUAGUCGAGGAGAAUAUCCUAAGGCGCUCGAGUGAGUCAUGGCUAAGGAACUAGGCAAAUUAGUCUCGUAGCUUCGGGAAAAGAGACCCCCACUUCGGUGGGGCGCAGAGAAAUGCCCAGGCGACUGUUUAGCAAAAACACAGGACUCUGCAAAAUCGAAAGAUGACGUAUAGGGUCUGACACCUGCCCGGUGCCGGAAGGUUAAGGAAGGGGGUUAGCGCAAGCGAAGCUCUUGACUGAAGCCCCGGUAAACGGCGGCCGUAACUAUAACGGUCCUAAGGUAGCGAAAUUCCUUGUCGGGUAAGUUCCGACCUGCACGAAUGGUGUAACGAUCUGGGCACUGUCUCAGCCAUGAGCUCGGUGAAAUUGAAGUAUCGGUGAAGAUGCCGGUUACCCGCCACGGGACGAAAAGACCCCGUGCACCUUUACUAUAGCUUCACAUUGUGCUUGAAUAUAAGAUGUGUAGGAUAGGUGGGAGACUUUGAAGCGGCCACGCUAGUGGUUGUGGAGUCAACGUUGAAAUACCACCCUUCUUCUAUUUAGGUUCUAACCCCGUACCCACGGGGGACAGUGUGUGGUGGGUAGUUUGACUGGGGUGGUCGCCUCCUAAAGAGUAACGGAGGCUUGCAAAGGUGCCCUCAGCAUGGACGGUAAUCAUGCGAAGAGCGUAUUAGUAUAAGGGCGCUUGACUGAGAGAGCGACGGCUCGACCAGGUACGAAAGUAGGCUAAAGUGAUCCGGUGUUUCCGCAUGGAAGGGACAUCGCUCAAAGGAUAAAAGGUACGCCGGGGAUAACAGGCUGAUCUCCCCCAAGAGCUCAUAUCGACGGGGAGGUUUGGCACCUCGAUGUCGGUUCGCCACAUCCUGGGGCUGAAGAAGGUCCCAAGGGUUCGGCUGUUCGCCGAUUAAAGUGGCACGUGAACUGGGUUCAGAACGUCGCAAGACAGUUCGGUCUCUAUCUGUGGUGGGCGUUGUAAUAUUGAAGGGAACUGACUCUAGUACGAGAGGACCGAGUUGGACGUACCUCUAGUGUAUCUGUUGUGCCGCCAGGUGCAAUGCAGAGUAGCUAUGUACGGACUAGAUAAGCGCUGAAAGCAUCUAAGCGCGAAGCUAUCCUUAAGAUGAGUAUUACUGGGGUCGUAGAAGACGACUACGUUGAUAGGCUAUAGGUGUAAGCGUAGUAAUACGUUCAGCUGAGUAGUACUAAUUACCCCUUAGCUUCCUUCC